GUCCCUGUAGUUUAAUGGACAGAAUAAGCCCUUCCUAAGGGUUUGGUGUAGGUUCGAUUCCUGCCAGGGACA
rnacentral:tRNA from 1 species